rnacentral:rRNA from 1 species
UACGUAGGGCGCAAGCGUUGUCCGGAAUUAUGGGGCGUAAAGAGCUCGUAGGCGGUCUGUCGCGUCUGUUGUGAAAACUCGAGGCUCAACCUCGGGCUUGCAGUGGAUACGGGCAGACUAGAGUGCGGUAGGGGAGACUGGAAUUCCUGGUGUAGCGGUGGAAUGCGCAGAUAUCAGGAGGAACACCGAUGGCGAAGGCAGGUCUCUGGGCCGCAACUGACGCUGAGGAGCGAAAGCAUGGGGAGCGAACAGG